ACAGAGGCGGCCGGCCGAGCGGCGACAGAGAGAAAGCUCUUCCUGCUGCCUCGGGUCGGGAGUCGACGGGCGCCAACGGCGCGUGGGGCCUAGGCCUCGGCGGGCCGCGCGCCGGCCUCCUCCCCCCGGCCCGGGCCUGCGUCCCGCCCGCGGGGCCUGCCCGGGGUGGGGGAGAGGCGGGUCCUCCGGCGCCCCCAGCCCCGCCGCCGCUUUCUCGCCGGGGCCGGGAACAGGUGCCUGGCGCCCUGCGCUGGGCGGGCGCGCGGGGACAGCGAAGUUCCUGCCGGGCUGGUGGGGGCUGGUGGUGUCCCCUCUCCAGCCCUCGGGGUCCGGAGCGUCCGCGUCGUGCGGCGGGCACGGCCCAGGUGUCCGGCCCCGGCGCGGCCCCUUCAACUCUUUGUGUGGGCUGGGGAGAGGGGCGCCGAGACCGUCCUGCCGCUUUCUGGCUGCGGAGGUUCGGGGAAAUGGGGCGUGUGAAGCGCUUAUCGGAGCGCCAGACCCACAGCGUGUCCCAAUAAACCGCCUGCAUGAUUGAUUGGCGUGAUAGGAAGGUGUAAUUUAGUGGGGCGAGUGGACAGAAGUUGACCUACCUAGCUGCCUCGCUGCCCGUGCGCGAGUGGGGGAGGCAGCGGUGUUCGGCGUGGCCCCCGUCGGCGCCGGGGGCAUUGUUUUGGGCUCAGGGCUGGAAGGGGGCGAGCCCGGGCCGGACCCCCUGCGCGCCAGCCGCGGGUCCGCCUUCCCCGUGGUCGUCCCGCCUCUAGGAAAGUUGCUGGCAGCCGCUGCCCCUGCGCCGGGCGACGUGCUUGUCCUCGGGCCGGGGCCGGGGCCGGUGGACGGACGGCGCUGGGCGAGCGUGCCUGUCCUCGGGGUCGGGGCCGUGCCCCUGCCUUGCCGCGUCGGCGUGGGUGCAGGCUCUCGGCUGUUCGCGCGCAGAUGCGCGUCCCAGCCGCCUGCCCCUGUUCUCUGGCCGUGCGGAGGGCUUUGGGGUCGCGCUGCCGUGCUGCGCGUGUUUUUGUUUAGAAGCGGGCGGACGGAGUCGAAGUACGGUUUUGCAGGAAGGGACCUCUGCUUACGUUGCUACUUGUUGAAGCAGAAACUAAAAAUACAGCCGGGGUGUGGAGGCAGCGGUUUGGCCGUCUGGGGACGGGCGCACCGAGUUCUGCUAAUGCUGGGCUGCGUGGUGCGGCUGUGCCGGUCCUUGGGGAGCUGCGGCCGCCGAGGUGCUCAGCUUCGAGUUAGGACAGAGAAAACGGAGUGUGCGCGCCGCAGACGUCCGCCUAGACCUCGGCUUGUCUUAGUCCGUUUCCUUAGAGAAAUGAAAAUGUUUUGA
rnacentral:lncRNA from 1 species